CUCUUAUCAAGAGCGGCGGAGGGAUAGGCCCUGAGAAGCCCGGCAACCAUUAAGGCAAGUCUUCUUGCCUUGAAAGGUGCUAAAUCCUACAGAUUAAAUGGAUCUGGAAGAUAAGAG
rnacentral:ncRNA from 1 species